GCCACGGUGGUCUAGCGGUUAGAACGCUGGCCUUGUAAUUCUUUAGUCCCGGGUUCGAUUCCCGGUGGUGCCC
rnacentral:tRNA from 1 species